GCUGGGCAUGGUGGCAGGUGCCUGUAAUCCCAGCAGCUUGGGAGGCUGAGGCAAGAGGAUACUGAGUUCAAAGCCAGCCUUAGCAACUCAGCGAGACUCUUUGCAAUUCAUCAAGACCUUGUCUCUA
rnacentral:sRNA from 1 species